CACCGCCGCCGCCGCCCACGACCUCGAGCAGUGGAUCUUACUCCUCCGUCCUCGACCUCGAGCGGCGGUAACCAUCCUAAAUCGCACACGUGCUCUUCACCGUUAAGAGAAAUCCAUCGACGUCCAUCGUGCCUCGCGCGACCUAGGUAUUUAGAUGACGCGUCGUGUGCGUGGGGAGUGAGGGUGGGGGAUUUGUGCGUCCGGGGUUGCGGAGGGGGUUCGAUUCGGCAAGGCUGAGGCGUGGGGGCGAGCGGUCGGGCCACUGGACCUGCGCCCACAUGCUGCAGGUUAUGGCCGGCAUCGACGGCGGUGGGGAUGCACCAGCAGCGCGGCAGCCUGGGUUGACGCCCAUGGAGCUCAUCGAGCAGAAGGUGAUUACAUGUGGAGUUCGGGAAGAGCAGCUGCAGCAGCGGCAGCAUCAUCAGUACAUGCCUGCUCAUGUACUUGGAGGAGCAGAAGGAAAAUAUUUCCAAUGUCACGUUGGACAUCUUGACAGCAGGCACUGAUUUAUCCGAGGCAGCAAGUCCACCAAGAAGGACGAAGACGGCAGCAUCAGCGACAACAAUGCGUACACUCUUUUUUAUUUGUUAAGAUGGGCUAGAUUCCACCCAGUUUUGCUCACAUGAUUGACUCAUUUUUAUUUGUUGGAUCAUGAUGCACUAAAAGAUGUUCAAAAUUGAUGGCAUGAACACUCUUCUAUAUUUAAAUAGUUGAAAUGAGGGAUUUUCUACUAUAGAGAAUCCUGACAGCACAGUCAUUAAGGAUAAUAAAACAUGUUAUUUAGCAAUAAUACAUAGGCUUGCAUAGUAAUUAACUGGUCAUUUGAUUUGUUGAUUACAUCAACUUUAUACAAUUCAUUCUGCAGAGGGAAAGCAGUACAAUAAAGUCUUCUUUAGUACAGCAAAGCAACUCCUUAGUUCUUAUCAUGUCUACUCACUUGUGGAAAUAUUUUCUUAUGUCAUUGCAUUUUAAUCAUUACAUAACAUUAUUACGCCCUACGAUCCAAAAUACCUUUCAUGGUUUUAGUUCCUCCUUUGUUAUUUUCUCAUCUUAUUGUGGUGUUAAUUGAGUGUACCAUAUAAACUUUACAGGUUACUGUAAUCUUGUGAAGCAAAGGUAACUGCUUCUGUUGAGUUGUUACAGAAUGUCCUAUGGAGGAAAUCAGCAACAAAGCAUACACUAUGUCCUAAUUCAAACUUGCUUGCAAGAUUUCCUAGGAAACCCGACCCCUGUAAUUCCAGUGGGAUAGAUGAUUAAUUGAACACAUAUAACUUAUAAUCUCAUCUACCGCAUUAUUCCUUGGUUGCAGGUCAGUAAGAUCGUCUUACUUUGAUCCCUGGGUUAAUGAUGUUACUUUCCUAGAAGGUAGAUGGAGUUAUGACAUUAGGCGGUUGACUAGAUGGUCACCAAUUGUUGAUUUGUGUGCCAGGGACCACGCCCGCAUCUCUGCUCCAGUCAGUCACAUUGUGCUAUGAUGCGCACAUCCUCAAGUCUGGGAAGCGACCCUGCUCACUCUUAAAUAAUGGCAAUUAGUGUCCAGAGCCCUUCGCUGUCAACAAACUGGAUGUAGACACUCAGGUGGACGCAUCCGCUCAGCCCCAAAUUGAUAUUCUCUUUAAUGAUUCUCGGUAUGUAUUUAUAUCAGCCAGAACAUCUUAUAUGGGUUUCUUCUCAUGAUAUUUGUACCUUACAAAGAUUCUGUCUUCAUGCUUGAAUUUUACCAGGUUCUUUCCUAUUUUUACCAUUCAAUUAUUACACAGUUGUUAUGCGUAUCACAUUUGCUGUAAGGUAUAUAUGUUGCUUUCUGUUGGAGAAAACAAAUUUGCAGUCUAUUGAUUGAGUGCAUGGCUGUCAUGAUUUCCCACCGUCAUAUCCCAUUCCUUUAUUAGCUAUUUGUUGGUAAUCUCAUGAGUUGAUUUGCUCUUUCAAAUUUUUCAAGUUACUUCCUAAUUUAUGGAUAACACAGAUGAAGUGCGCUUUGACAGAUAUAACAAGGAAACAUCCACGUCUAAUUUGUUCUUGAUAUAUUUAUAUUGGUUUAUAUCUCGCUGAUCAUACCAUUUUUUAUUUGUGAUAUUAGAAUCUUUGCCUUCUCAAACUUACAUUUUCUUGGGAUUGCAUUAUGCUCAAUGAAUUUGAUAGAAGUAUACCCAGAGGAUGCUAAACAGGGAAACAAAGUACACUCGGUAAAUUUAAUUUGCUUUGUCAAGGAUAUAUAGGGCAAAAAUUCCUCUUAUAGCUCUCCUCCUUGUAUUUAUUGCAAUAAGUUUUUGGUCACCAUCUGGAAUCUUAUUCCAGGAUCCAUGUUAAUCCCAUACAUUUUUCCCGCUGAGUCUUUGGAUGACUGGACUAUUACCUCUCCAGGAGCCAUACAUUUUUAUUUUUCUGCUGUUUAUGUCUUGGUAUUAAUUAGUUGUAGUCCGUGAACAUUGUUGUGUAUGCUGUCAUAUACCAAGCCAAUUUGUAUCCAUGAACCUUGAGUUUUCCC